rnacentral:rRNA from 1 species
GAUGAACGCUGGCGGCGUGCCUAACACAUGCAAGUCGAGCGAACCCUUCGGGGUGAGCGGCGGACGGGUGAGUAACGCGUGGGUAACCUGCCCUAUACACACGGAUAACGUACCGAAAGGUACGCUAAUACGGGAUAAAGUUGUUGGAUGGCAUCUUCUAACAAUCAAAGCUCUGGCGGUAUAGGAUGGACCCGCGUCUGAUUAGCUAGUUGGUGAGGUAAUGGCUCACCAAGGCGACGAUCAGUAGCCGACCUGAGAGGGUGAUCGGCCACACUGGAACUGAGACACGGUCCAGACUCCUACGGGAGGCAGCAGUGGGGAAUAUUGCACAAUGGGCGAAAGCCUGAUGCAGCAACGCCGCGUGAGCGAUGAAGGUCUUCGGAUCGUAAAGCUCUGUCUUCAAGGAAGAUAAUGACGGUACUUGAGGAGGAAGCCCCGGCUAACUACGUGCCAGCAGCCGCCGUAA